rnacentral:lncRNA from 1 species
AAAGUGGAAGAUGGAAAUUACUUGGGGACAUCUAAAAGCAAAAAAACAGGAACUUCUGAAGUUAGCAAAGAGCAAAAAAUCUCGAAAAUAUCGAAAGGAUCAACAUCAGCUCCAGAAUCAGCAAAGAGGAAGAUAACAACUGUAGCAGCUCUAAUAUAUACAUAUACAUCUCUGUACACAAAUGCAAGAACUUCUGAAGUCAGCAAAGAGCAAAAAAUCUCGAAAAUAUCGAAAGGAUCAACAUCAGCUCCAGAAUCAGCAAAGAGGAAGAUAACAACUGUAGCAGGUCAAGACAAAGCCCUGAUUGAGUCAUACAACAAAGAGAUAGUAGACAAACAUAAUACAUCAAAUGAAUCAGAUCUUGUGCAGGGGCAAGUCUCAAUUAUUACUGGAACACCAAAAGCAUUCCAGCCAAGUGAAUUUGAGUAUUCAAUGCAGUCAGCUGUCAAUACAACAAGAGGAGAUAAUAGAUCAGCUGACAUAAUCAUGCAGGGUGAUCAAAAUGGUGAUUCAGAUGAUUCAGAGAAUGAACAAAAUCCAGUAGACCCAUGGUCACUAGAUAUUUUAAGUAUGGCUGCAAAUGACAAGCUACCACACCACAAGCAAACAAUAAAUGGGGAGGUCACCAGAGUAACUUUUAAGUGCAACAGGUUUGGGAAAGAGAAUUCAAAGAAAAAGAAACAACAAACAGAGGAGACAGUUGUUUCAAAGAGGAAUACAAAUCAGGUCAUUCUCACAGAUUACUGCUCAACUCUCAGGUUCAAUAUCCUCUCAAGAAGAAGUGCUGAAUUUGCUUCAAAAGGGGCCAAAACAACUAAAUCAUAUGAGUUCAUGAUGCAACAAUUUGAUAUGAUUGAUAAAGCUUGGAAAAAUAGGAGUCCAGAAGAGACAAGGCAACAGCAAAGCAGUACAGAAAACCAGAACAAUGCAAAUUCAGCUUCAGAAGUUGAUCAUGUUGAAGUAGAAAAUACAACAGUUAAUGAACUUCAGAUAUUGGAUCCAGAUAUAGCAAAAUCAAAGGGAAGACCACAACAGCGAUACAAAACUAUUAGGGAACAAAUAGAAGAAAAACAUGUGAAUCACUAUAGUCACUGUGGAAGAACAGAUCACACAUUUCCAAGCUGCCCAUUGAAACACAUAGAGUUCAAUUUAGCAAAGAAAAAAAAGGAAAACAAAAAACCAAGUGGAACAGGAAAAGAUUCAAGACAACAUGUUGAAGAAAUUAAAAACUCCAAGUAA